rnacentral:other from 1 species
UUUACCCUGCCCUUGCUCGUGUAUCGAAACAAAGUCCUUGAACCGUAGUCUCAAUAGCAAGGAGCCCGGAUGUCCGACAGCAGCCGACAGGCCUUGACUGGAAGUCGAAAGUUGCCGGCAGGGUUCCACUUGUUUCUUGCAAGUUCAAAGGAACUGUUGCACACGGCUUGCGGCGGGGUUUUA